UGGUUGAUUGCGUCGGAAGUGAAAACUUGGGGCUUAACCCUGAGCGUGCUUUCGAUACGGGUUGACUUGAGGAAGGUAGGGGAGAAUGGAAUUCCUGGUGGAGCGGUGGAAUGCGCAGAUAUCAGGAGGAACACCAGUGGCGAAGGCGGUUCUCUGGACCUUUCCUGACGCUGAGGAGCGAAAGCGUGGGGAGCGAACAGG
rnacentral:rRNA from 1 species